UGCGUAGGCGGAAUGAUAAGUUAGUGGUGAAAGCCCCCGGCUCAACCGGGGAACUGCCAUUAAUACUGUCAUUCUUGAGUAUAGUUGAAGUGGGCGGAAUGUAUCAUGUAGCGGUGAAAUGCCUAGAUAUGAUACAGAACACCGAUAGCGUAGGCAGCUUGCUAAACUAUAACUGACGCUCAGGCACGAAAGCGUGGGGAGCAAACAGGAUUAGAUACCCUGGUAGUCC
rnacentral:rRNA from 1 species